GCUUCCAGAUGCCCUGAACAUACAGGGGACUCCUGUGGCCCCCCAUAGGCAUGGCCUUCUUACAGCACCCCUCAACACGCAUAGCGAACCUUGUUCUUCACUGACUGAGGGACGUCGGGCACGAACCAGGCCGCAAUGAGCUUGAUGCACAAAGCCACAUGCUAGGGGCAGCACAGGAGAGGUCCGGCAGGAUCAGGCGCCAGCAGGCAUUUGGGGUUUCCGGGCCGGGGAGGAGGGCUGGAGAGAGAACUGCCCAGACCCACUCCAAGGCCUCUCCCGGUUCCGGCUCACCUCAAAGAGGAUGACGAAGGCCAGGCGGAUGGCCAGGAGGAACCAGAACUGCUCGGAGAAGUUGUAAUCGGGGGGAUUGCGGUAGUCCCUGUAUCUGGGGUAAGGAAGUACCUGAGGUCAGGGGUCGGGAGUUCAGAGGGCAUUCUUGGGGGAUGGGGAGUUCCAAACCUGCACAGAGUCACGUUUUCUGAGCCCUCAAUCCUAUCGGGGUCCUGGAAGUCCUUGGUGUGGAAGACGGACAGGCUGUGGUUGACGUAGCCCUUGAGGCAGCUGGGGAGAGGGGAGAAGAGUGUGGGGUGGGGUGUCUUCCAGGGCGGCCCCUUCAGGCCCCAGGGUGCUUCUAGCUUGUGUUAUGGAGCAAACAGUGAGGUGGGGGCCACACCACAGACUGCCUCCAGUGGGAUGGGGCUCCCAGGCCAAGCACAUCUUCACAUCCAGGGGCUUGGGGGUGCUGUGGGGACUCUGGACAUCACCAGCCACUUUCCCUGCCAGGGACUGACCCUGGGGACCCAGUCUGGUUUGGUGGUUCCUCCAGGUCAGAGAGCUGGAUAAAUCAGAAGAGGACAUGCGGAACCUCACGUCGGGAGGAAGCCGUUCUGGCAGGGCCUGCUCAGGAGGCAGCCAGGCAUGGGCUAUAGCGGUACUUGUAGACCACGCGGGGGAUGAACUCAGAUGUGAAGGCGAUGACCAACCCGUUGGCGAUGACCGCCAGCACACCGAUGGUCUCCAGCACCUGCAGCCAGGUCCCUGCACCAGAGCAGUGGACAAGCGGUCUGACUCGUCUCCCUCGGCUCGUUCUGCCCCCACCCCCGGCCAACGACGGGCAUGCCAUGUCUCUGUGCAUGGUGUCCCAUUGCAGCCCUAGGGCCACAGUAUUCAUGAGGAAGUCCCCAGCCACGGCAGAGCAUGGCCUCAGCGCUCCUGCACCCCUCACCCUGACGUGGACAGGGAGGGACCCAGGACCCUCAUCCCUCCAUCUUCCUGAACUUCUCCCCCAAGCCACUCCACCUCGUGGGUUCCCACCCCAGGGUAAGACCUUGUAACCUGGGCCCCAAGACUGGGGGCCUCCCUAACACCUCUCUCCCUUUCCCCACAUCCAGCGCCCCAGCCCCUGUGGCUCCCCUGCUGCCUGUCCAUCUCCACGUGACCAGUCUUGGGACACAGGCCGGCUGCUCUGUUCCUGCCCCAGCCACUGGCAGAACCUGGGUCCCGCUUGGGGACGUCAAGCCCCUCCGUGAGAGCCUGAAGGUUUGUGGGAGGGGCCUACAAAGCGCCCCGCUCCGCCCACUCUGGGACCCUCCCACCCAGGCUCAGCCCACAUCCGAGGCCGAGGCCAUCAGAGGAGGGCUGGGGGCUGUCUGCGGUGUGAGAUCACAGAUUAUGUCCAGCUGAGCCGGCGUGGCCAGCGGGAAGCCCACAGGCCUGAGGCCGCCCGGUUCCCACCCAUCCUGCACCCGCGGGGCCUGACCGAUGUCCUUGGCCUUGCGCGGCACCAGGCGCCGCUGCAGCCAGACCAUCUUGAUGGCGUCGAGGCGGAUCUCCACGAGGUUGCUGAAGAGCGCGAGCAGCGGCGCCAGCGGGAAGGCGGCCACGAAGAUGGUGGUGAAGCCGUACUGGAUCACUGCGGGGCGGGGGUCAGGCUCGCCGGCGCCCCGCGCUCAUGGCCGUGGACCCCCGCCCCGCAUUAGUCUCGCGAACCCCCGCCCCGCAGCGCCCACGCACUCAUCUCCAUGAACUCGUCGAACAGGCUGAAGACGUUGACAGAGUUCAGAAGGUCCCAGUGCAGGACCACGCGGGCACGCUGCCGCUUCCAGAUCUCCAGGAACACCGUGGCUGUGGCGGGGGCAAGGAGGGGCAUCACUGCGCUAUGCCGGGUGGACCUUGGAGCUCAGGCUGGCACUUCCCCCGGCCCCGCAGAGGUGUCCCGCAGCAACUCACCCCAGAGAGCCAUGAAGAUGGCGAACACCACCGUGCCGUCAUUGUCAAAGAGGUGAGUGAGCUGGGGGGGUGAUGGUUGGGCCGGAGAGGAGAUGGGUGAGCUGGGGAG